rnacentral:sRNA from 1 species
UCAGUAACGGCGAGUGAAGCGGCAACAGCUCAAAUUUGAAAGCUGGCCCCCCCGGGGGUCCGCGUUGUAAUUUGUAGAGGAUGAUUCGGCGAGGGCUCCCGCCUAAGUCCCCUGGAACGGGGCGUCAUAGAGGGUGAGAAUCCCGUAUGCGGUGGGCUGCCUUAGCCAUGUGAAUCUCCUUCGACGAGUCGAGUUGUUUGGGAAUGCAGCUCUAAAUGGGAGGUAAAUUUCUUCUAAAGCUAAAUACCGGCCAGAGACCGAUAGCGCACAAGUAGAGUGAUCGAAAGAUGAAAAGCACUUUGGAAAGAGAGUUAAAAAGUACGUGAAAUUGUUGAAAGGGAAGCGCUUGCAGCCAGACUUGUCCGCAGUUGCUCAGCCGGUCUCCUGACCGGCGCACUCUUCUGCGGCCAGGCCAGCAUCAGUUCGGGCGGUCGGAUAAAGGCCCCGGGAACGUAGCUCCUCUCGGGGAGUGUUAUAGCCCGGGGUGGAAUGCGGCCAGCCUGGACUGAGGAUCUCGCUUCGGCUAGGAUGCUGGCGUAAUGGCUGUAAGCGGCCCGUCUUGAAACACGGACCAAGGAGUCUAACAUCUAUGCGAGUGUUUGGGUGUCAAACCCAUGCGCGUAAUGAAAGUGAACGGAGGUGGGAACCCUCGCGGGUGCACCAUCGACCGAUCCUGAUGUCUUCGGAUGGAUUUGAGUAAGAGCAUAGCUGUUGGGACCCGAAAGAUGGUGAACUAUGCCUGAAUAGGGUGAAGCCAGAGGAAACUCUGGUGGAGGCUCGCAGCGGUUCUGACGUGCAAAUCGAUCGUCAAAUUUGGGUAUAGGGGCGAAAGACUAAUCGAACCAUCGACUACUAGGUGGUUAAGAGGUGGCUGAAAGUGCCCACCUAGUCCCCCCGUCCGAGGACGGGGGGGCGACAUCGCCAAAUUGCGGGGACUCCCUUAGAGCCUCUACUACCGCGGCCGGCCGAAAGGCGCGGUGCAGCACCGGGUUAAUUGCCUAGGGUACGGUAAAAAGGUAGAGGAUUGGGAAAUCCGCAGCCAAGCGCCUAAGUCCCGCGGGAUACGGCGAAGGUUCAGAGACUAGAUGGCGGUGGG